rnacentral:lncRNA from 1 species
CCAGGGGCAUAUAAAAUUGAAAACUUGAACAGCACAAAAAUUUCUCGAACUUGGAGUGUCGAGAAUCUACAGAUGUACUACCAAUAAGAUUAUCUUAUGAAUUAAAGAUUUUUUUUCUACAAAUCUGUGCCGACUAGCUCAAAUAUUCGGUAAUCCACCGAAUAACAUGAUCGAUUAAUACCUGACCAUAUGAUUGCAUCAUCAGCUAGUAUCCGACGAAACGUUAUUCAGCUGACAUCCGAUUAAUG